GGGAGCGGCUGGGUUCUGGUGUGCCCACCGGUCUUCAAAACCGGCUUGAGGAGCUAAGACCUUCUCAGGUGAGUUCGAUUCUCACACGCUCCCGCCA
rnacentral:tRNA from 1 species